UUCUUUCUCUCCUUCUACAUCCUUUUCUCUCCCAGUGAUCUUUGAUAUUUAUACUUGGGCACGUUGGCUGGCCUUACAUGGUCUGGCAUUGGGUGCAGCUCUUUCUGGAAGACGCCCACUGGUCUGCCCUCCGUCUGUGGCAGUGGCAGGAUGGGAAUACCAGACGUUUGAAGUCAUCACUUUAAAGGAAUGCAUUACCAAGGUUUCAUUGUGCUUUAGCGAUAUUGGUUUAUUAGAAUGAGGUUUAUUCCAGUGGCAAACAAACAAUCCUAAUCUGACUUUGUUCAUAAUCAAUGCCAUUGCAGUUUACUCCUCAAACUUUGACUUUCUAAACAAUGGUGAUUAAAUCCCUGUGCGUGAUAAUCAUCUUGUACACAAAUGUAACUGAAAUAACAAUGAAUGUUUGAUGCAUUGGUAUAAAGACUGAAAGGAUCUAUUUGCCUGGUACUCGCUCAGGACAGUUAGAGAGAGAGACAGAGAUCGGCCAGAACUUCCCACACAGGGAGCGGGUGGUGAAUGAGAUGCAUUGUGCCACAUAGGACACAGCAACAAAUCGCUCAUUGAAUUGUUGUGGGCCUAAUAACCUCGCUGGACCCCACAACUAUCCUCCUGGCAUGGAUCGCUGGACAUUUCAGAAGAGCAAGGAAUAUUAGGACUGGAGAAUUACAGUCCUUCUUUGGAGUUUGUGAGGCUUAUGGAUUCCACCUCACGCCAGACUGCACUUUAUUUUGCAAGAAUUUGAUGCGGUCUGUUUGCCCCAUCCUUGUUUCAUGUGGCAGCAACCCUUUACACUUCCUUCCCCACAUACUGUAAAGCAAAUUACUUAAUUUAGUGAUAUGAGAAACAUCAGACAGAGACAAAAGCCAAAUGGAGGACGUCAUAGGAAAUGGGUUUUAAUAAAACAUCCUUCAAAGGCAUUUUGACAUGAUUACACAUGACUAAUGAUUUCAUAAAAUGACUUAAUUAAGUUCACUCUCCUUGGGUGGCAAGUAAAUGCAUAAAUAAAGUGUUGCAUGGGCCUACUAAAUUGUAAAAUCUAAAACAGACAACAUGGAAGUGAUUCAAAUUGCAUGUAUACUGCUACACCACUUUUCCUGACUUGUACCAUGGUAAUACAUUGGAUUUC
rnacentral:lncRNA from 1 species